rnacentral:lncRNA from 1 species
UGGUUGUGUAUGCUCUUUGGUCGGGUACUUGUCUCUUUUGAGACAUUACCCGUUUUCAAUUGCUAAAUACUUUACGAAAACAAAACACAAUCUGAUUUUCCAAGCUUUGCAAUUCAGAGUUUAUAUUGAAUUAUUCAACAGUUUUGCAUGUGUUAUCAGGAGACGCGUACCCUGUCGCAACAUACUGAAAAUGCAUUGAUAAAAAAGGAAAAAC